rnacentral:pre_miRNA from 1 species
CGCUCUGGCACACCUUUUGGAUCAGGAAAAAUUCAUGGAAUCGCUCUGAUUCCAUGAAUUUUUCCUGAUCCAAAAGGUGUGCCAGAGCC